UUUUCAGCUGCAGGUUUUUUUUCCUCUCGUUCUCUCUUGCCCCGCUCCCUCUGUUUCUCUCUCCGUGGCUUUAUCUCUCUCCCACCUUCUGUGUUUCCGAGUAAAGCCUCCAUAAAGUCUCCAGAAAUAAAGCGGCCGAUUCUCCUUUUUGUUAUUAUGAGUCUACAUUCCCAACCGGAUACAUCCCGAGCGUCUGAAAAACUUCCUGGAUACCUCCCUUAACAACCAGCCGACCUCCCGGGCCUGGCCAGCAGCCUUUUAAGUGCCAUUUCAGCCCUUUAUUACCCUUUGUUUUUGAGUUUUUCUGAAGCGAAAGCUUUGGAGAGGAGAGAGUUAAAGGACGUUUUAUAAAGGCUGGCUCAUCCAAAACUAUGGAAGCAGUGAGGAGCAAUAUCAAGAGGCUGCUUUGUUAAAUGUGAGAACCAUCUGUAUUUUGACUUGCCUGGGAAAUAUACAUUAAAGAGAAGGAUGUGGUCAACUAUGGCUUCAAUUGUAGAAAGAUUACCCUGACCCUAAGAAGUCAAGACUUGUCUGCGGGAAUCAGUAAAGCUGAAUUAAACUGCUGAAUGUCAGAACAUAUAUUAUCCUCCUUAACCCUCAGAACUGAAUAAAGGCAUUUCUGAAUCAUGUGCAUUCUGGUUAGAAGGCAGCCAGUUCUCCCCAUGUAGCAUUACUCUACAGCUCAAAACGCUCUGAAUCAUCACACAAACACUAAAUGAAUGUGGAUUAUUAUGAAGCAGUGACUUUAAAUAAAAUGGCUUUUGCAGAGAUGAUUCCUCAUUGAGCUGGAGCAUCUCCCUGAACACUUUGUACAGUGGACAAGCACUGUACCAUAUGGUCACAUUUCAGAGGCCAUAAUGACAUGAAAUCUGGAGGUAUCAUCUGACUAUUGAUAUCUUUGAGGUGUCACAAGCAGAAACGUAAAAAUGAAUGGAGGAAAUGAGAAUGAUGGUGAAAAAGAUGGCAUGGGACCUGCAGUUCAAGUUCCCAUAGGAUGGCAGCGACAGGUGGAUCAGAACGGAGUGCUGUACAUGAGCCCAAGUGGCUCAGUGUUGGCCUGCAUCGAGCAAGUCAAAACAUAUCUUCUCACCGAUGGAACGUGCAAGUGUGGCUUGGAGUGUCCUCUCAUUCUUUCAAAGGUGUUUACUUUUGAUCCUGGAGCGACUGUAAAGCAAAGAACAGCGGAAGAUGUCAAAGCUGAUGAAGAUUUGACAAAACUUUGCAUUCAUAAACGGAAGAUAAUUGCAGUAGCUACACUACAUAAAAGUAUUGAGACACCACAUCCUUCCCUGCUUCUAACCAGUCCAGGGGGUGGAACAAGUGGAACGCCUACGGUGCAGUCACGGGCCACAACUCCGAGAGCAAUGAGGAAUAAAUCACAAGAAGCAAUGGUAAAUUCUACGGUGCCAGACUACAAGAAUACGUUUCUGCCUAAAUUGAUGGCGGGAGGUUCAAAUGCUGUGACACGGCUGUAUCAACAGGAAUUAUGUGGAAGUCCCCAGCAGGAGCUUCAUGGUUAUUCCAGGCAGAGACUGGGUAGCAGUGAUCAAGGGCAGAAGUCUCCAUACCGUGGAAGCCAUGGUGGUCUUUCCAGCCCAGCAUCAUCAGGAUCACAAAUCUAUGGUGAUGGUUCUAUAUCUCCUCGAACUGAUACAGUGGGAAGUCCUGAUGUGUUUACGCGAAAUACUCCAGGAUUUCAUGCUGGGUCCAACUCCAGUCCUAUUCACAUCAAUAAAAUGCCCCAUUCCCCACCAACUGUUCUGAUGCAAAAUUCUUCAUCCCAUUCAUCCUGUGUUAUGGCUGGUAGGACUUCUAUACCUCUUUCACCAACAAUGACUACAAAAAGUCCUGUCAUGAAAAAACCCACUUGUAAUUAUUCAUCAAAUGUUGAUAUGCCAAGAAUUAUGUUUCAUAAACCUCCCCAAGGAGCCCCAACAUCAUGUGCUCUCCAGAAAAAGCCAUUACCCUCCGAAAAGGAUCCAUUAGGCAUCCUUGACCCCAUACCAAGUAAACCUAAUCCAGUACUUAUGAACACAUCUAAUUUCCCGACAACCAUGCACUCUCAGGUACCUAUGAUGAAUGUAAACAUGCCUCCUGCUGUUGUCCCUUUGCCAAGCAACCUACCAUUGCCAACAGUCAAACCUGGCCCUGUAAACCAUGGAACCCAUGUACCACGGGUCCAACAUUCAACUUCCACUUCUGUAUCUCCUGCACCUGUCACCUCACCUGUGCACAUGAUGGGACCUGUAAUGGGAAGAAUUGAGGUAUCACCACAGAGGUCAAGGUCAUCUUCAACGUCUUCUGAUCAUGGAAGUUUAAUGAUGCCACCUUCAGGUCCUCAGUCAAGCUGCAGUGGAAUGAAGGUUCCUCCAAGGUCUCCAAGGUCAUCUAUGGGUUCUCCACGACCAUCCAUGCCAUCCAGUCCAUCCACCAAGCCUGAAGGGCUUCUUCAUCAAUAUAAAGAUAUUCCUAAUCCGUUGUUGGUUGGAAUGAACAAUGUUCUGAAUCCUCAAAGUAAUGCUUUGUUUCCAUCUGUGUCUGUUGGAAAUGUACCACAGCAAAAGGGUCAGCCAGGUUUGCUUGGAAUGCCCUUAAAUCAAAUUUUGAAUCAGCAUAAUGCUGCCUCAUUUCCAGCAAGCAGUUUACUUUCAGCAGCAGCCAAAGCACAGCUAGCUAAUCAAAACAAACUGUCUGGUAGUAACAGUAGUGGUGGAGUUGGCAGUGGUGGCAAUAGUGAAGGACAUAGCACUUUAAAUACCAUGUUUCCUCCAACUGCCAACAUGCUUCUUUCCGUUAAUGAAGUUCAGAGUGGACGUGCGGCUUUGAGAGACAAGCUCAUGGCACAGCAAAAGGAUCCUUUAAGGAAGCGGAAACAAGCAACCCCUACAGUAUUGAGUAUGCUAAAACAGUCUCAGAUGGGCAGCUCAGGAGUCCCAAAGUCUGUGAUUGACUCUCUGAGGAAACAAGGACAAAAUUCAUCUGUAACUAUGAAUAAUACCAUGUCUCAAUUACUUCAAUCUAUGAGCUCACAAAGUUCUCAAAUAAGCGGCAAUAGCAGCACUAGUUGUGGUAGUUCCACUACAGGUAUUUCUGGUUCCUCCAAUCAACAUAGCUUCUCAAAUACCAGUCUGAACUCAGGUUCCAUUCAUAACCUAUCAGCUCAGAAUUUAACAAGAGGGGAUGGUAUUUCUUGCCAAAAUACAAGUACUAAUUUAAUCCACAGUUGUCAGGCCCCAAGCAAUCAAUUUGUUGGGUUAGUUGGACAGCUCCAUGGUGGUGGAAAUUGUGGGCUGCUUCAUCAGUCUGCAGUGACUUUGGGAAAUAAUUUGCAUUCUAACCAUCAUUCAAGAAUUACAGCCUCUUCAGCAACAAUGGUACCAAACAGCAGUGGCAUUUGUAGCCAAACCAGUGCUGACGCAGGAGGGCAGGAUGGUCCAUCCCAUGGGCAUCUCCACAGACGGCAACGUUGUUCUUUGGUCAACCUGUCAGGAGGUAGUUCUGGCCAGCCAGCAUCCAUGGCCAUUGCUGGCACCAACCAACUUGCCAUUACCAAGACAACAUCCGUUCUGCAAGAUGGAGUUAUAGUUACAACAGCAGCUGGAAAUGCAUUACAUAGUCAGAUUCCCGUGGGGAGCACUCUUCCCUUCAUUGGCCAGGACCAAGCUUUUCAAUUUGGACAGACUGUCCCUACAAGUAGCAAUCUAACCCACCCUUUGAACCCAAAUCUCCUUGGAUCUCUGUCCAUCCCCUUAGCAAUGAGCCAACAACAGCUCCUGAACCAAAAUAUGCUGAACAUGUUACCUACAUCUGGAGAUGGCAAAGGAGAAGUCUCUGUUAACCCUUUGGGAAUUCUGAACCCAACUUUAAAUUCAGCUUUGACUUUGCUCCCUGGUGAUAUGGCUGGACAGACUCUGCAACCUGUUCAACUUUUAGCCACCUUGUUUCAAAACCAGGCACAAGCUACAAUGCUCCCACUGACAUCUUUUAAUUUAACUCUCCCAGAUUUAUUACAGCAGCAAAACCACCCUUCACCUUCAGUGACACAGAUCCAGCCACUGCCAGAUCAUUUGCAUAGCAAUCAAUUAGUUAGUAACAGAACAGAAACCCUUUUGACAAACCCUCUAACAAGCCCCACAAACAAUGACACUACUUCAAAUCCUCUCCUCCUUCCAGCUGUCACAGCAGCUCCAGGACUGAUGGCCCUGAAUCCCCAUCUGUUGAGAAGUGUUUUGCACUCUCCUUCAGACCAUGCUGCUAACCACUCUGAGGUUUCUAUAGCAACCUCAUCCCAGGCAACUACCACAACCACCACAUCAUCAUCAGUUGCAGCACUUGCCAUCUCAACUCUUGGUGGGACAGCAGUUAUGUCAAUGGCAGAAUCGCUGCUGCCCAUCUCAGCUGCUGGGCAUUCAACAGGACCUACAAAACUGAACAACUCUUUGCUACCACACCUCCCUUUGCUGGGAGCCAGCCUUCUUGGUGAUGUACCUUCAUUCAGCAACAGUUUGAACAAUCCACAGUUAAGUCGUCUCCAGACCUUAAUCAAUAGCAAUCAGAUGUUUCCUCAGAAUCAUCAACUUUUACAAGGUCUGCAAGGGACUCGGGGCCUUCAGGGGUUUCAAGGUCCUCCUUCAUUUUCUGGACCCAGUAACACUCAAAACCCUAUGGCAUGCGUUUUCCAAAACUUUCAGGUGACUCCAGUCCAAGAUGUGUCUCUUUCAAAUGCUCCAGUAAACUCCCAUCCAGGAGCAAUAUUGCUGUCUGAGGGAUCCCAAACUGCCCUUCCCCCUUUCCAUGAUCUGUCUGGUGACCAGCAUCAAGUAGAACAGGUUCAAGGUCAGCAUGGCAGAGAAGAAGCCCCCACUGUGGGUCCCCAUGACCCUUCUGUUGAUGCUAUAUAUAAAGCUGUGGUAGAUGCUGCAAGCAAAGGAAUGCAGGUUGUGAUCACGACAGCGAUGAGUAGUACUUCUCAAAUGAGCCCAAUCCCAGCUCUGAGUGCCAUGAGUGCCUUUACUGCCUCCAUUGCAAAUCCUGUGAAUCUUUCCAAUGCAGUCAAUGCAGUGAUUCAUGGGAAAAGACUUUCCAGCAUGGAGAUUGACAGCCGGCUCCAUAGUCAAAACAUCCUUGCAAGUAGACAUGCCAGAGGUGUGAAGUUGAGGAAAAGUACUGAACAAGCAAAAAUUACUCCUGAAGGGGAAGGAUUUGAGUACUUCAAAUCACCAGGUCGCAACACACCUAAAAAACAAUGGGAAACUGAGCAACUUGCAGCUGGCGAUGCAACAGUGUGGAAAUGUGAGAAAUUUCUAGAACACUCGGGGCAGGUAAAUCAUAGUCCUUCUGUGGACAGGAUACCCUCUUUUCAUGGAGAGCAGACUGAUGGAAUAUUACAGCAGAAAAACUGCCAGUUGGACAAAAGAUUUCUUGAGGAUGGUUUUAAGUUUAAUAGUCAAAAAAGACACAUUGUAAACAUUAAAGAAAGACUAGAGAAUACUUUGGAAAGAUGCACACACAUCAAUGGAAACCGGUCUCAACAGAACAGGAACUUUGGUGAGUUGCUGACGACCCCCAAACAGGAGCUUGCCAUAGAGGAGCAAUCUCCAAGCUCCUCGACUAGUUUGGAAGGAAUGCCAGGUUCUUUGGCACAUGAAUAUAUUCAAUACAAUGGAGAUUAUAGUUCAGAAAACAUUAAUGGAUGUGCCCCAAGUCCGUCAGACACUAAAAGUAUCAGCAGCGAUGAUGAUUUGAAGAUUCCAGAUUCUCCAUCUAAUGAAUUAAUACACUAUAGACCAAGGACGUUUAAUGUUGGUGACUUGGUCUGGAGUCAAAUAAAAGGAUUUCCUUCAUGGCCAGGAAAGUUGGUGAGAGAAGAUGAAGUCCACAAUUCCUGUCAGCAAAACUCUGAAGAGGGAAAGGUUGUGAGCCUGACCUGAAUCGAGCUGCCUACCUUGAGAAAAAAAGACCCUGCUCCUGAGACGCUUUCCUGUAGCUGAACUGAAAUGAACGCUUUUAAGAAGUAUAUUUAAGAGAUUCAGUGUGCAGACAGAGAUUAAGUGCAUUAUGACUCUGACAACGAUUACCAUUGAUUUGUGAAGCACAAUCCGCUGUUCCUUCUGGGCUAAACGAUGAAAGAUUAGCACUUGGAUUUUCACUAUGUGAAAGCAGUAUUGUCAUAAUGGGAGUGUUAUUCCAUUCAGUUACAUGAUUCACCAGACAACUCAGAAGGACAGACAAGCCAAGUCACCAAAAGCCAAGAGACGAAAAAUCUCUAGAUAACGUUCAAUGUCUUCAUCACUGAUAUAGUUAUAGGGUUGAACUGUGUGUAUAUAGAGUCUUAUGCUACAAGGUGCUAUGGAACUGUGGUACAGUGUUUCUUCAAUAAUGAGCAAAAAUUAUAUGCUGGAUAGCUCAUCAGAAACCUUGUGAGAUCAUGGUUACAGUUUAUCUACUGCUUAUCUAUGAAGUGACAUUUUCUACAGUACUAUAAGAUCAAGAAUAUCAAAAACUGAACAGUCCAAAUGUUUCUGAAUUUUCAUUGUAUAUAGAUAUGCAAAAUUUCAUGGUAAUAUCAAAUUGUAAAUACUGUAUAAAGUUGUCAUGUACAAGCAUACUUAAUGCACAGUUUAUCUUGUACAAAAUAGUGUACAAAAUUCUUUGGUUUCUAUUUACACAUACAAGAGACUACCAGUGUAAAGAGGAUAAAUAAAAAUGCCGCUUAAAGCUUUUAUAUGCAAGAUGCUGUUUUUGUAUUUAACAGCAGAUGAGGCAUGGUUAUGUGAUAACUUAAUUAUGGCAGACACUUCACACCAUCAAUGUUCACUUCUUUCUGUUUGAACUCUGUCUUUUGUGCAAUGGCAUGGAGGUCUGUACGGUCCCACAUGCAAACUCCAUGUAAAAUGAUGAUUUUUCUUUUUCCCUUCACUUUUUUCCCCCCAUUCUAAAUUGAUGUGUUCUGUUUUGAUGGUAUUGGUGUCUGUGUUUUCUUAUCAGUCAGCUUUUCUGCUAUUUUAUGUCAAAAAAUGUUUUAUUCAUCAAAGGUGUGUGCUUUUAUAUUUAAUUUUGCCUUUCUUUGCUUUACUCCUAAACUGUCUUGUAAUGACCAACUUUGCUCUUUGUUUUGACAUUUAUCUAAUUGUUUUGUAUUUUCUCACAUGUAUACUUUACAUUAGUAGAAUAUGUAAAGUAUUUUGUGCACUUGAUUUUAAUUGGUUGAUGGCAUUUAUGUGGGUGAUAGGAGUAGUUUGUUCCAGUCCAAGCAAAUUCUCUUUAGGGUUUUAUGGUUUCAUGUAAAGAACACUAAUUGUAAAUAUUGUGAGCAUUACAGGUCGUGCAGUGUUGUAACAUUUUUAAUAAUGUUGCACCUACUUUACAAUUAAAAA